AUGUCCGUUACUUUGUAUUCAUUCUUCACUGUCGCAGCCUUCAUAACUGGAGUCAGUGGUGCAGACUCGAUCUCCCAGGAGCCGGUUUCAGUGAUGAAAUUUCAAGAUGAUGUGGUGACCAUUAUUUGCAGUUAUUCGACCACUGCUAGCACAUAUUCUUUGCAACUAUAUCGUCAGGAUCACGACAAAAGCCUGACAUUCUUGAUCUUAAUCCUUAACUAUGGCGAUGCUACCAGAGCUCAGGGUGUGGGGCCUCGAUUUUCUGUGAAUAUUGACAGUGUGAAAAGUGAAGGGAAUUUCACCAUCCGUGAUCUGCAACUGUCUGACAAUGCAGUGUAUUACUGCGGAGUGACAGACGCAGUGACAGAGACCAGAGGGAGCCUCGUACAAGAACAACAUCAUUGGGGCAAGAUGAACAACUAA